AAAAUAGUCCCUCCGUCCGAAAAUACUUGUCAUCAAAAUGGAUAAAUAGUUUUUAUCCAUUUUGAUGACAAGUAUUUCCGGACGGAGGGAGUACUUU
rfam:Triticum aestivum genome assembly, contig: Triticum_aestivum_CS42_TGACv1_scaffold_603310_7DL